rnacentral:rRNA from 1 species
GCUCCAAUAGCGUAUAUUAAUGUUGUUGCGGUUAAAAAAGCUCGUAGUUGAAUCUCUGAUCGGGAUGACCUCCUCACCUUAGGGUGAUGGUAGCUGUUGACCUGAUCAUCCUCCUAGAACACGAUGGCUCUUAACCGUUCCAUUCGUGCUAGGACUAUUACUUUGAGGAAAUUAGAGUGUUCCAAGCAGGCAUUUGCCUG